rnacentral:rRNA from 1 species
GACGAACGCUGGCGGCGUGCCUAAUACAUGCAAGUCGAGCGGACCGAACAGGAGCUUGCUCUUGUUCGGUUAGCGGCGGACGGGUGAGUAACACGUGGGUAACCUGCCCGUAAGACCGGGAUAACUCCGGGAAACCGGAGCUAAUACCGGAUAACACCGAAGACCGCAUGGUCUUUGGUUGAAAGGCGGCUUCGGCUGCCACUUACGGAUGGGCCCGCGGCGCAUUAGCUAGUUGGUGAGGUAACGGCUCACCAAGGCGACGAUGCGUAGCCGGCCUGAGAGGGUGACCGGCCACACUGGGACUGAGACACGGCCCAGACUCCUACGGGAGGCAGCAGUAGGGAAUCUUCCGCAAUGGACGAAAGUCUGACGGAGCGACGCCGCGUGAGCGAAGAAGGUCUUCGGAUCGUAAAGCUCUGUUGUUAGGGAAGAAGAAGCGUCGCUCGAACAGGGCGGCGCGGUGACGGUACCUAACGAGAAAGCCCCGGCUAACUACGUG